rnacentral:rRNA from 1 species
UGUAGGAUAGGUGGGAGGCUUUGAAGUGUGGACGCCAGUCUGCAUGGAGCCGACCUUGAAAUACCACCCUUUAAUGUUUGAUGUUCUAACGUGGACCCGUGAUCCGGGUUGCGGACAGUGUCUGGUGGGUAGUUUGACUGGGGCGGUCUCCUCCUAAAGAGUAACGGAGGAGCACGAAGGUUGGCUAAUCCUGGUCGGACAUCAGGAGGUUAGUGCAAUGGCAUAAGCCAGCUUGACUGCGAGCGUGACGGCGCGAGCAGGUGCGAAAGCAGGUCAUAGUGAUCCGGUGGUUCUGAAUGGAAGGGCCAUCGCUCAACGGAUAAAAGGUACUCCGGGGAUAACAGGCUGAUACCGCCCAAGAGUUCAUAUCGACGGCGGUGUUUGGCACCUCGAUGUCGGCUCAUCACAUCCUGGGGCUGAAGUAGGUCCCAAGGGUAUGGCUGUUCGCCAUUUAAAGUGGUACGCGAGCUGGGUUUAGAACGUCGUGAGACAGUUCGGUCCCUAUCUGCCGUGGGCGCUGGAGAACUGAGGGGGGCUGCUCCUAGUACGAGAGGACCGGAGUGGACGCAUCACUGGUGUUCGGGUUGUCAUGCCAAUGGCACUGCCCGGUAGCUAAAUGCGGAAGAGAUAAGUGCUGAAAGCAUCUAAGCACGAAACUUGCCCCGAGAUGAGUUCUCCCUGACCCUUUAAGGGUCCUGAAGGAACGUUGAAGACGACGACGUUGAUAGGCCGGGUGUGUAAGCGCAGCGAUGCGUUGAGCUAACCGGUACUAAUGAACCGUGAGGCUUAACCUUACAACGCCGAAGGUGUUU